rnacentral:rRNA from 1 species
AGUCGAGCGCCCCGCAAGGGGAGCGGCAGACGGGUGAGUAACGCGUGGGAAUCUACCCUUGACUACGGAAUAACGCAGGGAAACUUGUGCUAAUACCGUAUGUGUCCUUCGGGAGAAAGAUUUAUCGGUCAAGGAUGAGCCCGCGUUGGAUUAGCUAGUUGGUGGGGUAAAGGCCUACCAAGGCGACGAUCCAUAGCUGGUCUGAGAGGAUGAUCAGCCACAUUGGGACUGAGACACGGCCCAAACUCCUACGGGAGGCAGCAGUGGGGAAUAUUGGACAAUGGGCGCAAGCCUGAUCCAGCCAUGCCGCGUGAGUGAUGAAGGCCCUAGGGUUGUAAAGCUCUUUCACCGGAGAAGAUAAUGACGGUAUCCGGAGAAGAAGCCCCGGCUAACUUCGUGCCAGCAGCCGCGGUAAUACGAAGGGGGCUAGCGUUGUUCGGAAUUACUGGGCGUAAAGCGCACGUAGGCGGAUCGAUCAGUCAGGGGUGAAAUCCCAGGGCUCAACCCUGGAACUGCCUUUGAUACUGUCGAUCUGGAGUAUGGAAGAGG